rfam:Oscillibacter sp. 57_20 Ley3_66761_scaffold_1213, whole genome shotgun sequence.
UGCCAUAAGGGUUAGUAUUACCCUUAUGGCAACCAUGUAGCAUGUAGCA